rnacentral:piRNA from 1 species
AAAUACCUUCGGGAUUACUCAAGGACC